ACUAAAUCGUUUCUGAUCGUUGGA
rnacentral:miRNA from 1 species